rnacentral:tRNA from 1 species
GCCCGGGUAGCUCAGUCGGUAGAGCAUUAGACUUUUAACUAAUGGUCCAAGGGUUCGAGCCCCUGCUUGGGCA